rnacentral:rRNA from 1 species
UACGAAGGGGGCUAGCGUUGCUCGGAAUUACUGGGCGUAAAGCGCACGUAGGCGGUCUUUUAAGUCAGGGGUGAAAUCCCAAGGCUCAACCUUGGAACUGCCUUUGAUACUGGGAAUCUUGAGUCCGGGAGAGGUGAGUGGAACUGCGAGUGUAGAGGUGAAAUUCGUAGAUAUUCGCAAGAACACCAGUGGCGAAGGCGGCUCACUGGCCCGGAACUGACGCUGAGGCGCGAAAGCGUGGGGAGCAAACAGG